rfam:Alkalilimnicola ehrlichii MLHE-1, complete genome.
GGCCGGGGACGACCCUGGCCGCCAGAACGAAAACGGCGGGAGGACCUGG